CACGUAGGGGGCGAGCGUUGUCCGGAAUUAUUGGGCGUAAAGGGCGCGCAGGCGGUCUCUUAAGUCUGAUGUGAAAGGCCACGGCUCAACCGUGGGAUGGCAUUGGAAACUGGGGGACUUGAGUGCAGGAGAGGGGAGCGGAAUUCCCGGUGUAGCGGUGAAAUGCGUAGAGAUCGGGAGGAACACCAGUGGCGAAGGCGGCUCUCUGGCCUGUAACUGACGCUGAGGCGCGAAAGCGUGGGGAGCGAACAGG
rnacentral:rRNA from 1 species